AACGAACGCUGGCGGCAGGCUUAACACAUGCAAGUCGAACGCCCCGCAAGGGGAGUGGCGCACGGGUGAGUAACGCGUGGGAAUAUGCCCUUCGGUUCGGAAUAACACAGGGAAACUUGUGCUAAUACCGGAUACGAUCUACGGAUGAAAGAUUCAUCGCCGAGGGAGUAGCCCGCGUAGGAUUAGCUAGUUGGUGAGGU
rnacentral:rRNA from 1 species